AGAGUUGAUCCUGGCUUAGGACGAACGCUGGCGGCGUGCCUAACACAUGCAAGUCGAACGAAACAUAGUAAUAUGUUUAGUGGCGGACGGGUGAGUAACGCGUGAACAAUCUGCCCUGUACAAAGGAAUAGCCUCGGGAAACCGGGAUUAAAACCAUAUAACACUUUAGUACCGCAUGGUACAGAAGUCAAAUUGAUUAAGAGGUAUAGGAUGAGUUCGCGUCUGAUUAGCUAGUUGGUAAGGUAACGGCUUACCAAGGCGACGAUCAGUAGCCGGCCUGAGAGGGUGAACGGCCACACUGGAACUGAGACACGGUCCAGACUCCUACGGGAGGCAGCAGUGGGGAAUAUUGCACAAUGGAGGAAACUCUGAUGCAGCGACGCCGCGUGAGUGAAGAAGGUCUUCGGAUCGUAAAACUCUGUCCUUGGUGAAGAUAAUGACGGUAGCCAAGGAGGAAGCCCCGGCUAACUACGUGCCAGCCGCCGC
rnacentral:rRNA from 1 species